GGCAGGGCAGGGCUGUUCCGGCAAGAGCGCCGGCCACAUGCCGCUCCAGUCACCUUCCCAGCGGCUGCGGAGCGGGAAACGCCCGAAGGAGCCUCCCAUCCAUGAAGCAGACUCCGGUGCCUGGCUGGGAUCAGAAAAUGCUGUUGAAAUAUCCACUUGCAUCUCAGAUACUGUGCCCACUUCCUGACACAGGAAUGAAAGCACUAACCUGAAAAGUUCUUCAAAAGGCACCUCUUCCACGUUGCUGGCUCAGCACACAGACAAGUCCAGUUUCAUACAUCAUAAAAGUGCACUGCUUCUCCUGCUAAGAACUUUCAUGAACAAGAGAAGAGAUUAGUAAUGUUAAUAACCUUCCCCCUAUCAAAACAAAGAAACCUCCAUAUUCAACCUUAGGCCAUACAAUAGAUGUAAGACAAUAAGUGUUCGUGGACAAUUCAUAUUCUGGCAUGGUGCACUUUUUUAGGAGUAGCAAUAUAAAUCUUCAAAUUCAAUGACAAAGGAAUGAACAUUCUUGUUACUGUUAAUGAACUCACAAUUUGAGAGAAUAAAAUCCCUCCUAUAUUGAAAUGUGUACAUCACCUUAAUUUCUAUCCGAAGGCCAAGCAUCAUUAUGAACCUUAAUGUGACUUCAUCACUCAUUCAUAAAGCAGUAAAGCAGUAAUUAUAAUGGUAAAUUACACAUACUGCUGAUAUUUUUCUUCACUGGAUUAAUGACUGAAUUAGUGAUUAGUUGUCAAUAAAGUAAUCAACAAAUAAUCAGCCUUGCAAUAAGUAGGACUUAGAUAUAUGGUAUAUCUCUUCAAGUAUGUUUUAUAUAAACACUCAAAGAAGUGCAGAAUCCCAGGAGCAUAUCUUUCAAUCUACUAUUGGCUUGUAAGACUUUUUUUAACUUUUUGAUGCUAGUAACUGUAACUCUGAGACUACCACAUUAUUGAUUCUUAUGGAAUGUUAUCACUCGUUAUUGGAAUAAUGCAUUGAGAAACUGACACAUGAAUUUGAAUGCUCACUAAAGUGUGCUACAAUUGAGUUAAGCCUUUUCUAACAACUUAUAUGAGAAAUAUGUUUUGGCAGCCAGACUUCAAUUUUGUAGAGCUUUUCAGGUUUUUUUAGAAGUGUAUCAUUUCUGUUGUCUCUGGAAAUGUAUGUUUCUUACCACCUAAUUUUAGUGAGAUGGGUAAGAAAAAUCCAUAGCAAAAAUGUGUCAGUUCUGCAGCUGUUCAGAUAGUCAGUCUGCAAUUCAUUGCUACAUCUA